GACGAACGCUGGCGGCGUGCCUAAUACAUGCAAGUCGAACGAAGCUGUUUUAACUGGUGCUUGCACCGACUUAAACAACUGAGUGGCGAAUGGGUGAGUAACACGUGGGUAACCUGCCCCAAAGCGGGGGAUAACAUUUGGAAACAGAUGCUAAUACCGCAUAACCACAGAAACCACAUGGUUUCUGUGUCAAAGAUGGUUUCGGCUAUCACUUUGGGAUGGACCCGCGGCGUAUUAGCUAGUUGGUAAGGUAAUGGCUUACCAAGGCAAUGCUGCGCAGCCGAACUGAGAGGUGGAGCGGCCACAUUGGGACUGAGACACGGCCCAAACUCCAACGGGAGGCAGCAGUAGGGAAUCUUCCACAAUGGACGAAAGUCUGAUGGAGCAACGCCGCGUGGGUGAAGAAGGUUUUCGGAUCGUAAAACUCUGUUGUCAGAGAAGAACGUGUGCGAGAGUAACUGCUCGUGCAGUGACGGUAUCUGGCCAGAAAGCCACGGCUAACUACGUGCCAGCAGCCGCCGUAA
rnacentral:rRNA from 1 species